GACGAACGCUGGCGGCGUGCUUAACACAUGCAAGUCGAACGGAAAGGCCCUGCUUUUGUGGGGUGCUCGAGUGGCGAACGGGUGUGUAACACGUGAGUAACACGCCCCUGACUUUGGGAUAACUUCAGGAAACUGGGGCUAAUACCGGAGAGGAGAUUCUGCGGCAUGGUGGUGGUUGGAAAGUUUCGGCGGUUGGGGAUGGACUCGCGGCUUACCAGCUGGUUGGUGGGGUAGUGGCUGACCAAGGUUGUGACGGGUAGCCGGCCUGGGAGGGUGACCGGCCACAUUGGGACUGAGGUACGGCCCAGACGCCUACGGGAGGCAACAGUGGGAAAUCUUGCACAAUGGGCCGAAGCCUGAUGCGGCAACGCCGCGUGCGGGAUAACGGCCUUCGGGUUGUAAACCGCUUUCGCCUGUAACGAGCCGUGAGUGACGGUAAUUAGUAAAGAAGCACCGGCUAACUACGUG
rnacentral:rRNA from 1 species